UGCCAGCCGCCGCGGUAAUACGUAGGGGGCAAGCGUUGUCCGGUUUAUUGGGCGUAAAGAGCGUGUAGGCGGCUUGGUAGGUCUGCUGUGAAACCUCGAGGCUCAACCUCGAGCUGUCGGCGGAAACCACUUGGCUAGAGUCCGGAAGAGGAGAGUGGAAUUCCUGGUGUAGCGGUGAAAUGCGCAGAUAUCAGGAAGAACACCUAUGGCGAAGGCAGCUCUCUGGGACGGUACUGACGCUGAGACGCGAAAGCGUGGGGAGCGAACAGGAUUAGAUA
rnacentral:rRNA from 1 species